GUAGCUCUGGUCCAGUGGUGAAGACGAUGGACUAGAAAUCCGUUGGAGUUUCCCCGUGCAGGUUUCAAUCCUGCCAACUAUG
rfam:Tauraco erythrolophus contig9935, whole genome shotgun sequence.